rnacentral:rRNA from 1 species
CCUACGGGAGGCAGCAGUAGGGAAUCUUGCGCAAUGGGCGAAAGCCUGACGCAGCCAUGCCGCGUGAAUGAUGAAGGUCUUAGGAUUGUAAAAUUCUUUCACCGGGGACGAUAAUGACGGUACCCGGAGAAGAAGCCCCGGCUAACUUCGUGCCAGCAGCCGCGGUAAUACGAAGGGGGCUAGCGUUGCUCGGAAUUACUGGGCGUAAAGGGAGCGUAGGCGGAUAGUUUAGUCAGAGGUGAAAGCCCAGGGCUCAACCUUGGAAUUGCCUUUGAUACUGGCUAUCUUGAGUAUGGAAGAGGUAUGUGGAACUCCGAGUGUAGAGGUGAAAUUCGUAGAUAUUCGGAAGAACACCAGUGGCGAAGGCGACAUACUGGUCCAUUACUGACGCUGAGGCUCGAAAGCGUGGGGAGCAAACAGGAUUAGAUACCCUGGUAGUCCACGCCGUAAACGAUGAGUGCUAGUUGUCGGCAUGCAUGCAUGUCGGUGACGCAGCUACGCAUAAGCACUCCGCCGUCGGGGAGGUACGGUCGCGAAGAAUUAAACUACAAUAGUAAGUUAGACGGCGUGAGACGUGCCGACGGACGACGACGAGGGGAGGUUAGG